GGCCUUUGUCUCAACCCAGCUAGAUGGUAGCAGUAGCAACUUGAUCAUCUCUUAGAUGAGUUGGUGAUUGUGGAAAUCCGAAUCAUCUCUCUAAAAUCUCUUCACCAAAGUGAUGAACUCUUCCUCAAGAUGCUAACAAAGAGAGAUCUACUCCUUGUCGAGCUGUGCGAGUUGGAGCUAUUGGAGAGAUCGGGAAUGAUU
rnacentral:lncRNA from 1 species